rnacentral:rRNA from 1 species
AUUGAACGCUGGCGGCAGGCCUAACACAUGCAAGUCGAGCGAGCGGCGGACGGGUGAGUAAUGUCUGGGAAACUGCCCGACGGAGGGGGAGAACUACUGGAAACGGUAUCUAAUACAGCAUACCAUCAGAUGUGCCCCAAUGGGAGUAGCUAGUAGGUGGGGUAACGGCUCACCUAGGCGAGGAUCCCUAGCCGGUCUGAGAGGAUGACCAGCCACACUGGAACUGAGACACGGUCCAGACGCCUACGGGAGGAAGCAGUGGGGAAUAUUGCACAAUGGGCGCAAGCCUGAUGCAGCCAUGCCGCGUGUGUGAAGAAGGCCUUCGGGUUGUAAAGCACUUUCAGCGGGGAGGCGUUACCCGCAGAAGAAGCACCGGCUAACUCCGUGCCAGCCGCCGCGGUAAUAC